GGCUUGUUAAAAAUGCAGGGAGUGAGAUGUUAAAUAUUUUAAUAUGCACUUUUUUGUGGGAUUUAAAAAAUAUUUUUUAAAGUUGACCAGAUUCGUCAAUUCCUGAAUCCGCCACUGGAUUGACCCUUCAAAUUAACAAAUUAUCAAUGGCCAAAGUACAAUAAGUAAGAAGAUCUAAGAACAAUUGCCAAACGACCCCACAAU
rnacentral:lncRNA from 1 species